rnacentral:rRNA from 1 species
GCUCAGAGCGAACGCUGGCGGCAGGCUUAACACAUGCAAGUCGAGCGCCCCGCAAGGGGAGCGGCAGACGGGUGAGUAACACGUGGGAACGUACCUUUCGGUUCGGGACAACCCAGGGAAACUUGGGCUAAUACCGGAUACGCCCUUCGGGGGAAAGAUUUAUCGCCGAAAGAUCGGCCCGCGUCCGAUUAGCUAGUUGGUGAGGUAACGGCUCACCAAGGCGACGAUCGGUAGCUGGUCUGAGAGGAUGAUCAGCCACAUUGGGACUGAGACACGGCCCAAACUCCUACGGGAGGCAGCAGUGGGGAAUAUUGGACAAUGGGCGCAAGCCUGAUCCAGCCAUGCCGCGUGGGUGAUGAAGGCCCUAGGGUUGUAAAGCCCUUUCAGCGGGGAAGAUAAUGACGGUACCCGCAGAAGAAGCCCCGGCUAACUUCGUGCCAGCAGCCGCGGUAAUACGAAGGGGGCUAGC